rnacentral:rRNA from 1 species
GAAGGUGGCAAGCGUUGUUCGGAUUUACUGGGCGUACAGGGAGCGUAGGCGGUUCGGUAAGCCCUCUGUGAAAUCUCCAGGCUUAACCUGGAACAGUCGGAGGGGACUGCUGGGCUAGAGGACGGGAGAGGAGCGCGGAAUUCCCGGUGUAGCGGUGAAAUGCGUAGAGAUCGGGAGGAAGGCCGGUGGCGAAGGCGGCGCUCUGGAACGUUUCUGACGCUGAGGCUCGGAAGCGUGGGGAGCAAGCAGGAUUAGAUACCCUGGUAGUCCACGCCUUAAACUAUGAAUACUAAGUGUCGGCGGGUUACCGCCGGUGCCGCAGCUAACGCAUUAAGUAUUCCGCCUGGGAAGUACGGCCGCAAGGUUG